ACCUGGGAUAGCUCAGUCAGUAGAGCAUGAGACUCUUAAUCUCAGGGUUGUGGGAUCAGGCUCCAUGUUAGGCA